AUGGCGAACAGGGGAGGGAAGGGGUCGUACCCCCCGUCCAAGUCAGGAGCACUGAACGGAAGGCAGAUGGUUCUGAUUUCUGAUGAUUCUGAUUCUGAUUCUGAUGAUUUUUUCGAAGAAGAGGCUCCCCCCACACACUCCAAGUCAAAUGGGAAAGCUUCAUCUGAUAGCCUAAAAACUGGUGGAAAGGCUUCAUCCUUUUCUAAUGGAGAAGGUAGCAAAGGAGGGAAGGCAUUUAGUGCUGGGAAGGGUGGGAAGGGCUCCGCAUCAAAUGCAAAGCCUGCAAUGUCUGAUGCAGAACUAAAGCUUCAGCUUGAUAUGUCUCCAAAUUCUAUAUUGUUAACGAACUGUGAAGCAGCAGAAAUGUUGCAGAAAAUUCAGGGACAUAUGGCUAUCUUAUCAGAGGAUCCGAAGAUAAAAAUUCCCGAGUCGUUUGACAAGGCCUUUCAAUAUGCAAAAGAAGGAAAUCACUUCACCUCUGCGAAGUUGGUGAAAGAAAUCCUGGAACCCCUUAAAGACUAUGGUGUUAAUGAUGGCGAGAUAUGCAUGAUAGCGAACAUUGGGCCUGAGACCAUUGAAGAGGUUUAUGCACUCAUACCGUCUCUCAAGGCCACUAGGUCGAUCAAUGAAGGCAAGAUCGCGGAGGCCCUUACCGCCCUCGCUAACAUAAAAGCCUCCAAGUGA
rnacentral:rRNA from 1 species